UACGGGGGGGGGCAAGCGUUGUUCGGAAUUACUGGGCGUAAAGGGCUCGUAGGCGGCCAACUAAGUCGGACGUGAAAUCCCUCGGCUUAACCGGGGAACUGCUUCCGAUACUGGAUGGCUUGAGUGUGGGAGAGGGAUGCGGAAUUCCAGGUGUAGCGGUGAAAUGCGUAGAUAUCUGGAGGAACACCGGUGGCGAAGGCGGCAUCCUGGACCAUUACUGACGCUGAGUGAGCGAAAGCCAGGGGAGCAAAGCGGG
rnacentral:rRNA from 1 species